AUUGAACGCUGGCGGCAGGCUUAACACAUGCAAGUCGAGCGCGCGGCGGACGGGUGAGUAAUGUCUGGGAAACUGCCUGAUGGAGGGGGAUAACUACUGGAAACGGUAGCUAAUACCGCAUACCAUCAGAUGUGCCCAGAUGGGAUUGGCUAGUGGGUGGGGUAAAGGCUCACCUAGGCGACGAUCCCUAGCUGGUCUGAGGGGAUGAACAGGCACACUGGGACUGAGACACGGCCCAGACUCCUACGGGAGGCAGCAGUGGGGAAUAUUGGACAAUGGGCGCAAGCCUGAUGCAGCCAUGCCGGGUGUUUGAAGAAGGCCCUAGGGUUGUAAAGUACUUUCAGUCGGGAGGCGUUACCGGCAGAAGAAGCACCGGCUAACUCCGUGCCAGCAGCCGCGGUAAUUC
rnacentral:rRNA from 1 species